GUGCUCCUUUCCACUAACUGAUUCAUUUUCCUUUGCUGUAACUUGGCUACAAUAUUACAAGUCAAGAAUUUGCAAGAUUAAAGGGUCUGUUGAAUUAAUUAACGCAAAUCACCUUCAGUUAAGCUUGACAAGUUCCAAGACGUUUCUGUAAAAAAGAAGGGAAUCGAUAGCAUCAGCAAUAUGCAGCUUUGUGACAGUCGAGGCUGGAAUUUCUGAACGUGACUGGCUUGCUCCCCUUCCCCUCUCUUGAGGAAUGAAAAAAUGCAAAUUCUGAUUAAUUGAUCAACCUGAGUGGGAGUUGUGGACUUCUGUGAAUACACUGAAGAAUUAGGAUAAAGACCUAUAAGAGAUGGAGGAUUUAGCCCAUAAGGUGGAGAUUCAGUUUGGCCACUUACCUGAUCAUGGGAUUGUGAACGACAACUGGCAAGAUGCACAUGCCCAGCUGUCUGCCAUUCGGAAGGCUCAGGAGAGCCUCAGUGGGUCCAAGCAAUGUGGAUUUCCCCUGAUGCUGCAUCUUCUUGAGGGUUCGUGCUUAAUGCUGACAUUUUAACAGUGUUUCCUGCUACAGGAUCUGGAAUAACGGCUGCAUCUAAAACAGCAGGGUUGGACCUCUUAUAAUGUGUGUACUUUAAAAGUGCUGCAGUUUAUUACUUAAUCUUAUUUGAAAAAAAACUUGUAUUUUUAUGGGCAUGUAGAAUUAUCUAUUUGGCUUUUAGGAAAAAAAUGUUUCCUUUACAUUAUAGGCAGCAAUAGUAGGAAUAUGAGCAAUGUUAAGGACUGGGUCACUUCUGAUGACAUGUCCUUGGCAAUAAAUUGUCAAUGUGUGAGGUUAGAGGUCAAAAGACCAAGGGGAGAAAAGUCCUUUUUGAGUUAUAAGAAAAAAAGUGGACCAAAGAAAUCAAAAUAUCUUUUCCAAGUAAUGGGAAAAGACUUCUGAGGUCAAAUCCGAACACAUCUCAGGAAUUUUCCAGGAUAAACUUCAACUUUUGUGCAACACUAUUCUAAUUUGGUUUCGGUAAAUAUAGGCUUCUGAUCAGCAACUUGUCAAAUACAUUUAUUUUUAAAUCCCUCUUUACUUAAAAGCACAUCUGCAGACUAUUCUUAGCUGAGCUGUAACACCAGUGCCACACUCUGUUCUUAAUUGACUGCGGCAGUAAAGGACUCGCGAGGGUUAAACUUUGGUUGGCGAAAUAUCGUCAUUAAAAGUAGAAGCACUGUGAGGUUAAAGCACCUAGGCGUUCUGCGGGGAUCAAGAACCUAGUAAUUUGUCUUAAUAAGAAAAAUGGUUCCGACUGAAUAUAUUAUAUGGCUCAUUUUAAAACCGAAUCCAUAAAAUGGCUUGUACAUUAGAGAUUAACAUAGAGAGAAUAGAUUUGCAUAUGUAAGGAACAUGAUGCACUUGAUAAAUAUGUAGCAUUUGAGAAAAACAUGCUGUAUUGAAAAGUGAUUUGGAACAGGGUGGCUAGUUCUGGGCAGCUUAAUGUGCAGAUAAUUUUGCAGAGCGUUACAUCUUUCCAUCCUCAAAAGAACAGGAGCAGCCCUUCAAGGAUCAGCUGGAAGGUUUCAGGGGCAGCUGACAUCUCUAAGUAUGUAUUUUAAGUGGAUUAAAAAGUUAGGAUGCCUGUGGGGUCAAGCUGUAGGCAAAACUAUGAAAUGGGCAAACUGUGCUUGGACGUCCUUUCCUUCUGCUGCAGUCAGAUGCCAGAGUCUUCACUUUGCUCUGCGCCCACUCCACAGGGCCCUUUGGGGGACUCACAUGGUCCAAGAAAUGCCCUAAGCUUCAAACUCAUCUCCUUUCCUCUCCUCAGGGUUGCUUUCCUCUAUUGUACUCCAUUCUAAGGAAGGAGACCCUUCUUCUGUCUAGAACACAAUGGGUUACAAUGAGUCAGUAACUCAAACUAAUCCUAAUUAACAUGUCAUCAAUCCAAUACAGUAACCUAGUGGACUGAAUAUUUUAAUUCAGAUAAAAUACAUGCAUCUUCUGAAAGUCCUGAGCAAGUGACCCUGCUGCUGGGAUUGGUACACACUCUGGUUGGUAGAUGGGGGCAUGUUUUGACCAGCUAAGACUUCUGGUACCGUUGUGUGUUUGUGUGUGUGUGUGCCCCUGUGUUCAAAAGCAUGACCAUUCCUUAGACUUUUCGAAGUGCCUGUCAGCUUGCUUAAGUGUGUGUGCAGUGAAGUCUUACUGAUUUUUGUGGGAUAAGGAGUCAUAUGAUGGGCUGCAGGGCGAACCCCACUUUGCAUAUCAGGAAAGGGAGAGCUGCCCAUGUGUGCUCCCAUAUAGUCUUCAAAGCCAGGCAAGGACAGCUCCGGGGCUGAAAUAAGCAGGCACAGUGUAUCUGUACGAAGAAUUUUCAAAUUAAACUGUUCUUCCACCAAAUGAAUAAAAAAGCAGUUAAGCAGGAACACAGUGGGGUUAAUCUUCCCCAUGCUGAGUGGGUAGAAAUGCCAUUACCACGAACAGAUUUACACAUGUAGGUCUAUCACAUCCACAGGAGACUAUUUGUGAACACCGAAUGAUGAAUAAUAAUAAUAAAACUAAAAUCAUAAGACUGUUUGUUCUAUGCACGUUAAUGAGGUGUAGCUUUUGUCUUCACAUCACCAGUCCCGGGAUGGAAUCUCAUUUUCCAGCUGGCUUGUGGACUAUGAUUGGCUUUUAUUGAGUUAACUAAUAUCUAAACAGUCUUCAAUGCCGUUUGCUUAUAUGUACACAUAUAUGUAUAUAUAAAUACAGACAGAAGUUUAGUAUCAAGCAAAAACAACCACAACGAAGAUUUUCAAAUUCACGUUAAGUCCUUUCGAGAGAGAGUUUUGAAGCUGCACUAGGUCUUUUCUGUUGGUAGGCCUAUUCAACUGUACAAAAAGUUAACCCAGGAAGACUCCCUCCAGAGCCGAUUCAAUUAUGUUACAAGUUUUAGAGAAUAGCGAGAGAAUAUACUCUAGAUUUAUACUGUGGUUCAUUGUUGAAUUUAUCUAACGUAUAUGUAAGUUAAUCAUAUUCCACAUUUUGUAUAUAUAUAUACAUUUUUUUCAGGUAAGUAAACCAUUUUAAAUAACAAGAGAAGCACAUUAUCUUGAGUUAGAUUUUUCUUUGGUAGUAGCUAAUUAUUUAGAGAGCCCGACUCUUGCUCUCUCUCUCCCUUCCAUUCUUCAUUUAACCAACAUUUAUUGAUUGUCUACAUCAGACCAUGAGCUCCCUUCUCUCCUCUUCAGUCCUCUUGAUUAUGCUUGCUUUUCCAGGGGAUUCCAUUCCCUUCAGAGAGAUGACAAUGCUUUUUUCUCUGGUUUGAAAUAUAGACUCAUAGAAACUCAAACUUCUUUUCACUUAUAAAUGACCAUCAGUAGGCACAUAAGAAAGGAGAACUUCACUUAAAUCAGUAGUCUUAAAAUUGACUAUAAAAAGGUAAAUAAAGCUCUAGUUUAUUUACUUUUGAUUUGUUUGAUUGUUUAAUUUAUUAUUGUCUGUUCUUAUAUUAACCAAUGUUCCGUCACAAUUAGAAUAAAAGGAACUGCUGGAUUCUCUAGACAGAUAACUGUGAAAUGCCAUCAGUAAGUAAAUUUUGUAUAG